UGGGAAACUGCCUGAUGGAGGGGGAUAACUACUGGAAACGGUAGCUAAUACCGCAUAACGUCGCAAGACCAAAGAGGGGGACCUUCGGGCCUCUUGCCAUCAGAUGUGCCCAGAUGGGAUUAGCUAGUAGGUGGGGUAACGGCUCACCUAGGCGACGAUCCCUAGCUGGUCUGAGAGGAUGACCAGCCACACUGGAACUGAGACACGGUCCAGACUCCUACGGGAGGCAGCAGUGGGGAAUAUUGCACAAUGGGCGCAAGCCUGAUGCAGCCAUGCCGCGUGUAUGAAGAAGGCCUUCGGGUUGUAAAGUACUUUCAGCGGGGAGGAAGGUGUUGUGGUUAAUAACCACAGCAAUUGACGUUACCCGCAGAAGAAGCACCGGCUAACUCCGUGCCAGCAGCCGCGGUAAUACGGAGGGUGCAAGCGUUAAUCGGAAUUACUGGGCGUAAAGCGCACGCAGGCGGUCUGUCAAGUCGGAUGUGAAAUCCCCGGGCUCAACCUGGGAACUGCAUUCGAAACUGGCAGGCUAGAGUCUUGUAGAGGGGGGUAGAAUUCCAGGUGUAGCGGUGAAAUGCGUAGAGAUCUGGAGGAAUACCGGUGGCGAAGGCGGCCCCCUGGACAAAGACUGACGCUC
rnacentral:rRNA from 1 species